GGUCGUUUAGCUCAGCUGGAUAGAGCGUUGCCCUCCGGAGGCAAAGGUCAGAGGUUCGAAUCCUCUAACGAUCA
rnacentral:tRNA from 1 species